rnacentral:rRNA from 1 species
GACGAACGCUGGCGGCGUGCCUAAUACAUGCAAGUCGAACGCAGUGGGGACGGGUGAGUAACACGUGGGUAACCUCCCAUCAGAGGGGAUAACACUUGGAAACAGGUGCUAAACCGAUACUGAUGGAUGGACCCGCGGUGCAUUAGCUAGUUGGUGAGGUAACGGCUCACCAAGGCGACGAUGCAUAGCCGGCCUGAGAGGGUGAGAAGCCAAACUGGAACUGAGACACGGCCCAGACUCCUACGGGAGGCAGCAGUGGGGAAUAUUGGGCAAUGGGCGAAAGUCUGAUCGAGCAACGCCGCGUGAAUGAAGAAGGUUUUCGGGUCGUAAAGCUCUGUUGUUGGAGAAGCGGUAUCUAACCAGAAAGCAACGGCUAACUACGUGCCAGCAGCCGCGGUAAUAC